UACAGAGGGGGCAAGCGUUGUUCGGAAUUACUGGGCGUAAAGGGCGCGUAGGCGGCCCGCUAAGUCGAACGUGAAAUCCCCGGGCUCAACCCGGGAACUGCGUCCGAUACUGGUGGGCUCGAAUCCGGGAGAGGGAUGCGGAAUUCCAGGUGUAGCGGUGAAAUGCGUAGAUAUCUGGAGGAACACCGGUGGCGAAGGCGGCAUCCUGGACCGGUAUUGACGCUGAGGCGCGAAAGCGUGGGGAGCAAACAGG
rnacentral:rRNA from 1 species